ensembl:lncRNA
GGAGGACGUAGAGAGAUGGAGGAUGUAGAGAGGUGGAGGAUGUAGAGAGGUGGAGGACGUAGAGAGAUGGAGGAUGUAGAGAGGUGGAGGAUGUAGAGAGGUGGAGGACGUAGAGAGGUGGAGGACGUAGAGAGGUGGAGGAUGUAGAGAGGUGGAGGACGUAGAGAGAUGGAGGACGUAGAGAGUUGGAGGACGUAGAGAUUUGGAGGAUGUAGAGAGGUGGAGGACUUAGAGAGGUGGAGGACUUAGAGAGGUGGAGGACUUAGAGAGGUGGAGGACGUAGAGAGGUGGAGGACGUAGAGAGGUGGAGGACGUAGAGAGGUGGAGGACUUAGAGAGGUGGAGGAUGUAGAGAGGUGGAGGACGUAGAGAGGUGGAGGACGUAGAGAGGUGGAGGAUGUAGAGGUGGAGGACGUAGAGAGGUGGAGGACGUAGAGAGGUGGAGGAUGUAGAGUGGUGGAGGAUGUAGAGAGGUGGAUGAUGUGGAGGAUGUAGAGAGGUGGAUGAUGUGGAGGAUGUAGAGAGGUGGAGGACGUAGAGAGGUGGAGGAUGUAGAGAGGUGGAGGAUAUAGAGAGUUUGAAGAAGUAGAGAGGUCAAGGACGUAGAGAGUUGGAGGAUGUAGAGAGGUGGAGGACGUAGAGAGUUGGAGGACGUAGAGAGUUGGAGGAUGUAGAGAGUUGGAGGACGUAGAGAGUUGGAGAAUGUAGGUGGUGGAGAGGUGGUGGAGAGGUGGAGGAUGUAGCAGAGAGGAGAGUGCAGGAGAGAGAGAGAAAUUGAGUGAGAGGUAGAAAGAGUGAUGGGGAUGAAACGUGGAAAUGGGCUAUGUGUCAAAG